CCUACGGGAGGCAGCAGUGGGGAAUAUUGGGCAAUGGGCGCAAGCCUGACCCAGCAACGCCGCGUGAAGGAAGAAGGCUUUCGGGUUGUAAACUUCUUUUAAGAGGGAAGAGCAGAAGACGGUACCUCUUGAAUAAGCCACGGCUAACUAAGUGCCAGCAGCCGCGGUAAUACGUAGGUGGCAAGCGUUGUCCGGAUUUACUGGGUGUAAAGGGCGUGCAGCCGGGAAUACAAGUCAGAUGUGAAAUACCGCGGCCCAAACGCGGAACUGCAUUUGAAACUGUUUUUCUUGAGUACCGGAGAGGUCAGCGGAAUGCCUUGUGUAGCGGUGAAAUGCGUAGAUAUAACGAAGAACACCAGUGGCGAAGGCAGAUGACUGGAGGGCAACUGACGGUGAGGCGCGAAAGCGUGGGGAGCAAACAGGAUUAGAUACCCCUGUAGUC
rnacentral:rRNA from 1 species